ACAGAGGGGGCAAGCGUUAUUCGGAAUUAUUGGGCGUAAAGGGCGCGUAGGCGGCCAUUCAAGUGACGGGUGAAAGCCCUCGGCUCAACCGAGGAAUUGCCUUGGAAACUGUACGGCUUGAGUAUUGGAGAGGAAAGCGGAAUUCCCAGUGUAGCGGUGAAAUGCGUAGAUAUUGGGAGGAACACCUGUGGCGAAGGCGGCUUUCUGGACAAUCACUGACGCUGAGGCGCGAAAGCCAGGGGAGCAAACGGGA
rnacentral:rRNA from 1 species